rnacentral:sRNA from 1 species
AAUUAUAACACAUUAGUCAGACAACAUAAAAAAAACUUAUAACUCAUCUUCUUCUUAUAACUCAUCUUCUUCUUAUAACUCAUCAUCUUCUUCUUCUUCUUUUGUUGAAGAGUAAAUUCACCAAGAGAGCCGACAUGGAGAUAGAGAAGAUGAUUGUUGGGUCUGCGGUUUGUGAUAGAUGGAGAUUUAGGGUUUAAAUUUGUUUUAACACACAAAACGACGUCGUUUUGUCCUUGCAAUAAACGACGUCGUUUUGUCUCUGUAAUAAAUGACGUCGUUUUGUCUCUGUAAUAAACGACGUCGUUUUGUCUCUACAAUAAACGACGUCGUUUUGUCUCUACAAUAAAUGACGUCGUCAUA